rnacentral:rRNA from 1 species
AUGAAAAUACAGAGGCCAGUGCAGCCCAUGCCAUAUUGCACCUAUGCAAGAGACAGAUCUGGUGAUCUAGACUCCUUGGGUUAUCCAAAGCCAUCAAAAACCAUUGUCAGUGAGGGCUUGGUUUUGGUUAAUACCUUCGAAGAGACUUUUGGUGACAUAUAUGAUUCUGGUAAAGGUAUCUGGAGCCAACUCACAGAAAUGGGUUCUCAUAGUUUACCUCGACGAGUUGUCGCACUCGCUUCAUUCAGCGGAGAAAGGAGGUUUUUCGCAUGCACAGGCUUAUUUAUUGAAUGGAAUGGAUGCACCCCCAUUCUGACUUCAGCGAGUUUGGUUAGUGAUCCUAAAGAUGGAAACAAGAUUGCUGAAAAGUUGAAGAUUGAAGUUUUGCUUCCAAACAAUAAAUGCAAAGAAGGGGAAUUGCGAUAUUGUAAUUUACACUACAAUGUUGCUCUUGUCGUUGUCAAGGAUUUCUGCUGUCUUCGUCCAGUUAGAAUUCAUGAAGAUUGGUGGAAUCCUCUAAUUCUGGAAGAUUCCAAUGUAGUAGCUGUGGGGCGCUGCUUCAAAUCUGGCAGGUUAAUGGCUGCACAUGGGAGACUAACUGACUGGUCAGGCGUGCUUGACUACAGAGAUCUUAGGUACUCCAGUUGUAAGAUCACUAAGGCUGGGAUUGGUGGGCCUCUGAUUGACUUUAAAGGGAGAUUUGUUGGCAUGAACUUCUAUGAUAAGAAAAUAGGAACCCCGUUCUUGUUCAGGGAUUGUAUUAUUCGAGUGCUGGCACAUUUUAAGGAAAAUGGGACUGUUGAAGUUGGCAGCGGUAAACCAAUCAGGUGGCCGGUGCCCAUACCGUGUUGGCGUCAUCCGGACGAUGAGCUCAAAGAUUCGCUCCCACUUGGCCACGGGGAAAAAUCUGGGAGGUAUGGAUUCACAUAUGUGGAUGGAGACAGGGUUGACAACCAUAGAUCUCGUCAUGCCCUUGAUCUGCUCCGUUGA